ensembl:antisense BC065403 cDNA sequence BC065403
CUGGGAUAGUCUGACGUGUGGUCAGAGCUAUGAGGAAGUAACUAACACAGACAGUAUCUUUGUCUGCAGUUCCUAGCGGGGUAGCACAUCAUUCAGGAGACAGCUUCUAGAUGAUACUGAAUCCCAAGAGAGGGGCCUGGCAGAUGAAUGACAUCAGCUAAGGCAACCUGAAGGGCCUCGUGCCACACAACGAUAACAUCUGUUUAUCAGGAUCAAGCACGCUCUCUGGAGAGCGCAGACAGCAGGAUGGGCCGAGCUCGGAUGACAGUCUGCCCUGUGGAGAUUGACUUUAAUGAAGCAAGAAUAAACAGGAAGAUUAAGUACAAGCAGAAACCAGUGACAAGUUCUGAGCUCACCUCUCUGCUGGAAUCGAAGGGCUCUCUGCCGCUGAGCGAGUCUCUGUUAGAGAGAGAGAGGCAUCAUCUGUUUGGUCGCUAAUGAUCCUGUUAUCCACAUCGGGCCCCAGUGUGCGCAAAGAAAAGUUUUCUCUCGAUUUAGAGAGCAACUUCUGUAUGUUUUAUUUAUAUCUACUCACAAAACAAAUUGUUUUCUAAGAUUGGAAAAGUUAAGAUUGAUAAGGUUUGAGAAAAUAUUUAAUAAACUGAAAAUGACAUCCUUUUAGGGAUUAAGGAUUGCUAGUAUUACUCUGCUAUCUGCACCGAGCAUUCACACCUACUCGGGUGUUUGUGGCAUAAACGUGGCUAGUUCUGCAGGGAGAUCUUACAGAAGGAUGACUGUCCUGGAAUGAACAGACCAACCAGCUAGUCUUCUUUAUAAAGCCACUUCUUCGGGCUUUCUAAACGGAUCCUAAUACCCCACUGUUUUGGUUCCUCAUUUCGUGUAUGAUUUUUGAAAAGUAACUUUUUAAAAACCUGUUUUGCAAAACAGCCAGUAAGCAAGUCCAGGAUUCCCACCGGCCCUCUGGAGAUGCCAUUUCAUUCAUAUCCUGAGUACCGAGUAUUUUCUUUCUUUUUUCCCCCCCACUAUUGUGUUUCUUUUGGGGAAAAAAAUAGAUCUUAUUAAAACUGGAAUGAAGUCUGAA